UGAAAUCGAGCUGUGCUUUCAUAAAUCUCAGAACCUGCACAAUUUCACAGGGAUCUUUGCUCUUCUUCCAGCACUGCCAUUUAAUUCCAUGGAUCCUGCAGCUGUAGCUGCUUCUGAUCAAUAUUGGUAAUUGAUUAUAAUUGUUUGAUAAAGCAGGACUGCUUUCCCUGACACCCUGACAAUUCAUCUGGCUCAGAAGGUGUCGUGUUAGCCUGGCCACUGCAGCUUAAACUGCUUUCCAUGGGAAAAUGGCUGGAGAAAACAGGCUGAACUGCACUAACAACAGGAAUACGUGGUUGAUGUAGGAUGUAGAAUCACUGAAAUGGGUAAUCUGGGGAAGAUUAAAGUGUUUGAAGAUUUUUUUCCUGAUGUCAGAAUGGACACAGGGAGAGCUGGUCCUGCCUUGGUGCCAGGGAUUGGGCUGGAGGCAGCAGCAGUGACCUGGUGUCUCUGGACGAGAGGGAAGUGAGAAUCUGCAGCUGAGACACCCCAGAUGUCUACAGUGUUCUCUAAAAUUGUCUUUGUUUCUAAAAUUCUGUCAGUGGGAUGGGAGGCUGGCACCAGCAGCUCUGAUCUGGAUCCUGUGAGUCUGAGAGAAGCAGUGCCAAAGGAUUACGAGCCCUUUAGCCCGUUGCGCUGGGUGGGAAGGAAAAUCAAGUGAGCCAUUGGAAACUGCUCUCAGACUGCAGAUUCUGACCAGACUCGUGUCAGGGCUUCAGGACUUUCAUUCUUCACUUAUGGAUGUCAGGUGGGACAAUGUCAGAGCCUCAGGUGUGUGGGAUCUGCUGCUCCCUCCUUGCCCACAAAGCCUCAUCCAUUGGAGAGCAGAGUUGGGUUGCAUCAGCUUGUUUUGUUCCUGAGGGAUUCAUGUAGACAAGGACUUAUCUCCCUGUUAGUUUCUAUACAGAAAACAUUCUGAUUAUUCUGCUGUUUUAGGUUUCCUGGGUGUUAAAUCUUUUGAUAUCUUCCUUGUCCUGUUUGAUUUGUGGACAACUCCCAGUGUUUGAAAGUGUGAGAACUUUGUGGACGGUUGGGAAGGCAACAGAUCCAAUCUCUCACUGGGAG
rnacentral:lncRNA from 1 species